rnacentral:misc_RNA from 1 species
GAUAAAAGAAAUCACUUGUAUAAGAGUUAGUUUGGAAACAUAUUCAGAUUUCAACCCUGGAAAUGGACAUGGCUGACAAGAGACCAACUGUUAACUUUGGAGCACAGUGAGAUCUGUAAAGAAAUCCAGAACAUCAGUGACAAGAUACAGGAGUGAAUUUUCAUCCAAGAUAGACCAACUCAACCUACUGGUUUCCAGUCGACAGGAAAAAAUGUCAAAAUUAAACCUUCAACAUCAGCAGAAAAUGAGGGCUACAUAGGAAAGCAUGCAGCAGCUUAGAAUUUCAGCCCUGAAAAUGGGCAUGGCUGACAAGAGACUAACUGUAAAUUUUGGAGCACAGAUUUCAGCCCUGAAAAUGGGCAUGGCUGACAAGAGACUAACUGUAAAUUUUGGAGCACAG